rnacentral:rRNA from 1 species
GGGGAUAGCCCGAAGAAAUUCGGAUUAACACCGCAUAAAAUCACAGUAUAGCAUUAUACAAUGAUCAAAUAUUUAUAGGAUUAAGAUGGGCAUGCGUGUCAUUAGCUAGUUGGCGGGGUAACGGCCCACCAAGGCGACGAUGACUAGGGGAUCUGAGAGGAUGACCCCCCACACUGGUACUGAGACACGGACCACACUCCUACGGGAGGCAGCAGUAAGGAAUAUUGGUCAAUGGAGGCCACUCUGAACCACCCAUGCCGCGUGCAGGAAGACUGCCCUAUGGGUUGUAAACUGCUUUUAUCCGGGAAUAAACCUAUUUACGUGUAGAUAGCUGAAUGUACCGGAAGAAUAAGGAUCGGCUAACUCCGUGCCAGCAGCCGCGGUAAUACGGAGGAUCCAAGCGUUAUCCGGAUUUAUUGGGUUUAAAGGGUGCGUAGGCGGCCUGUUAAGUCAGAGGUGAAACACGGUAGCUCAACUAUCGCAUUGCCUUUGAUACUGAUGGGCUUUGAAUGAACUAGAGGUAGGCGGAAUGA